GAUGAACGCUGACAGCAUGCUUAACACAUCAGCAAUUGAUUGGUGGCGGACGGGAGUAACGCGUAAAGAACUUGCCUCACAGGUAGGGACAACAUUUGGAAACGAAUGCUAAUACCUACUACUGUGAGAGAGCUUUGCGUACCAUUAUCUAGUUGGAGAGGUAACGGCUCACAAAGGCGAUAAUGGGUAGCCGGCCUGAGAGGGUGAUCGGCCACAAGGGGACUGGGACACGGACCUUACUCAUACGGGAGGAAGGAGUGGGGAAUAAUGGAGAAUGGACCAAAGUCUGAUCCAGCAAUUCUGUGUGCAAGAUGAAGUUUUCGGAAUGUAAAAUGCUUUCAGUUAGGAAGCGGUACCAACAGAAGAAGUGACGGCUAAAUACGUGCCAGCAGCCGCGGUAAUAC
rnacentral:rRNA from 1 species